GAGGCUGCGCAUGCGCUAGCAGGACGUUGCCGGGCGCCCUAGAACACCCUACGGGUGAAGAGUGAGCUGGUCCGGGGCGCGAGGCUCAUUUGCAUUGUGUGCCCGCCCCUUCCACGCGAAAGUAGGAACGCAGAUUCAGAAAAAGGCGUUCUAAUCUUUGUCCGGCAAGGGUUGGAGAUAGACAGAGACCCUCAUCAGAGCAAUGGACUGAGCUCCCAAAGUCCAGUUGAAGGGCAGAAGGAGGGAGAAGACAAGCAAAGAAGUCAGGACGGCGAGGGGUUGGUCCACCAACUGAGACAGCGUGCCUGUUCUAAUGGGAGCUCACCAAAUCCAGCUGGACCAGGACUGAAUGAGCAUGUGAUCAAACUGGACUCUCUGAUUGUGGCUGACAAUGGGGGCUGACUGAGAAACCUUUGAUAAAGGCACUGGGACUUGUUUUUACAGCAUGUUCUGGCUUUUUGGGAUGCUAGUCUAUAUGGAUGCACAGCUUCCUAAGCCUGGAUGUAGAGGGGAGGGCCUUGGACUCAAGUAGGGAGGAGUGAGGAGGAUGAGUGGGGGAGUGGGAGGGGACUGGGAGGAGGGAAGUAUAAAUUUUUGAAUGGAAAAAUAAAAAAAAUUUAAAAGAUUUCAGGGCACAAGGAGAUACACAUUAGCACCAAGUAUGACCAGGAGUCCAGGUUGCACAAAAAAAAAACCCACAGUGGCACACAGAGGAGGUUUAUGUUCACACACACACACACACACACACACACACAGAGGAAGAAACAGGUCUAUGCUGAAGCACACACAAAUCUCAGGAGCACAUGUUCUCAGGAACAGAUACAGGAGUUGAACAAGGCCCAGAAUUGAGGUUCCCUUUAGUCCCCAACUCCUUGGUCUUGUUGCACACAGUGAAGUCUCACAACACAAUCACCAGGACAGAGACCACUCAUGAUCACACAUCCCUGCUGACACUGCCCCAUCCACUAAUCCUGGAAAGACACACACAGGGAUGUCACUGCUGCACACACCAGCUUCCAUCGAUCAUGUGCUGCCAUUGAAGUAUGUACACAAGCUAGGCAUGGACACUUAAAAUUCCAGCGUAGUCUGGGCUAUAACAAGGCCCUAUGUCCAAAAAAAUAAGGGGGGGAGGGGGUUUAGGAAAAAAACAAAAAAGGACAGACAUAACUCUGGCCUCAGUAAGUGUGUAUCCCAAUACAUUCACAACUCAAGUCCCACCAGAAACAGAUUACUUCCAUCAAGGACCGCUUCGGUCACCGCAUCUCAGAAUGACAGAGGCCAAAACACAGGUGUAAACAAUGCUUUAUGGAGGGCUGGAACAGGAUGGAGCAGGCCUCCAGAUAAUAAAUAACACAGACUUGCAACAGCAGGGCCAGGCAGGAAGUUGGGGCCGAAUGGCCCUGGUCUCAAGCUCUGGGAGUUCUUCAGGAUAUGGUUAGGGGUUCAGGGGGAAUAGAGUUAGCCAAGUCAGAGGAAACAGCAGCAGGUGUGGGUUCCCCCUUCCCCUGUGGCUCAAUCUUGCCCCAAAGCCAGGCCCCACCAGGCCCGGGAAGGGGGGAUGGGAGAUGGGGUGGCUUUUCUGGGGCCAGGGCAGAUUGGGGCCUAUCCUCUUAGGGCCUGGUUUUGGGCCCCAGCCUUCGGGUAGGGCUGGUCCAGGAGAACAGGUGAGCUGAAAGAGAAGGGUUUUAUGACCUGGAGGGGUCCUGAGUCUGUCUAGCUAGAAUCACUUGUCUCAUUACUAGGUAUCUUUGUGACCUGUCUGCCUGUACCCCUUUGUCUCUCAGUCUGUGCACUGACUUUGUGGCCUCUCUGCAGGUUAUGCAGGAGUCUUGUUCUCUGAGCAGCUCCCUAUUUGUCCGCCUCACAAGCUGUGUGCAUCUGUAAAGGGGCAUUUCAGUAACUACCUACCACCACCCUGGCCAGGUGGUACUUCACACAUGUAAUCCCGGUACUGAGAGGAGGAUGGUGAGUUUGAGGCCAACCUGAGCUACAUAGUGAGAUUCUGUCUCAAAAACACAAAACAUGACGGGCAGUGGUGGUACAUGCCUUCCAGCACUAGGGAGGUAGAGGCAGGCAGAUCUGUGAGUUCGAGGCUAGCCUGGUCUACAGCAUGAGUUCCAUGACAGUAAGGGCUACCCAGAGAAAUCCUGUCUCCAAAACACACACACACA